CCUUCUGCCCUCACCCUUAGUGGGAUCACAGCAGCCGCACAGCUGUGUCUCUCUUGUAGGCGGGCCUUCGUGAGGAUGAGUACAAGCCCUGAGGCUUUCCUGGCGCUCCGCUCCCACUUCGCCAGCUCUCACGCUCUGAUAUGCAUCAGCCACUGGAUCCUCGGGAUUGGAGACAGACAUCUGAACAACUUUAUGGUGGCCAUGGAGACCGGCAGCAUGAUCGGGAUCGACUUUGGGCAUGCGUUUGGAUCCGCUACACAGUUUCUGCCAGUCCCUGAGUUGAUGCCUUUUCGGCUAACUCGCCAGUUUAUCAAUCUGAUGUUACCAAUGAAAGAAACGGGCCUUAUGUACAGCGUCAUGGUACACGCGCUCCGGGCCUUCCGCUCAGACCCUGGCCUGCUCACCAACACCAUGGAUGUGUUUGUCAAGGAGCCCUCCUUUGAUUGGAAAAAUUUUGAACAGAAAAUGCUGAAAAAAGGAGGGUCAUGGAUUCAAGAAAUAAAUGUUGCUGAAAAAAAUUGGUACCCCCGACAGAAAAUAUGUUAUGCUAAGAGAAAGUUAGCAGGUGCCAAUCCAGCAGUCAUUACUUGUGAUGAGCUACUCCUGGGUCAUGAGAAGGCUCCUGCCUUCAGAGACUAUGUGGCUGUUGCACGAGGAAGCAAAGAUCACAACAUUCGUGCCCGAGAACCAGAGGGUGGGCUUUCAGAAGAGACUCAAGUGAAGUGCUUGAUGGACCAGGCGACAGACCCCAACAUCCUUGGCAGAACCUGGGAAGGAUGGGAGCCCUGGAUGUGAGGUCUGUGGGACUCUGCAGAUAGAAAGCAUUACAUUGUU
rnacentral:sRNA from 1 species